UGAAGAAAUAAGUGUUACACACAGCAUGUAUGCAAUUUCUGGAUAGAAAACAAUCUGUGGUUCUGCUGGCAGGUUUAGCUUCUGCAUCAUCAAGGAAGGUGAGGUGGUUUGUGCUAUCCUCAUGUUGAGUCAACUCUGCUAAGAUGUGGUUUAGACUAUGAAAAGAUGGACAUGCUUGUGCACUUGCUUCUCCUAUGUAGAGAGUGUUUUCAUCCACUACAGUGAAUAACUCCUGACAAUGGACUUGCACAUUGUUCUCAGAUGUGCUGGAUGAGGGGAGAGAAGGGGAUGGUGAAUUGGCAACCAGUUCAAACUCUGCUGCAUACCUUCUGAAGAGAGCUGAAGCCAAAUAGUUUUUAGCUCUUCUUUGCACAGUUUGACAAAUGAACUCCAACAAACCAGGAGGCAGCUACCUGCCCAGCAAGAUCCAGCUAAAAGGGAGGGCAAAGAUGUGAGGAACAUGAGAGAGCAGGAGAACAGAGAAAGCUUGAAAACCUCCCUCCAAGUCCAGAGGCUCCUGGCCUUGGUCAUUGCCUGAACUCUGCUACCAAAUCUGUCUCAAUGCAUCUCUCCUGCCCAGUGAACUCUAUCUCAUGGCUAAGAUGUUCCCUGCUGUUUGGGGACGCACAGUGUUGUGCAAUGUGUUGUAACAUUGGUUUCAUGUCUGUGUGGGUGUCUUUCUGGCAAGAAAAAGAAAGUUUUGAGCCUCAUUCUCCCAUCUUCCUAGUUAUUGUCUGCCAGACUGUUUGCUAGUAUAAAGGAGGCAGGGUGAUGGUGGUGGCUUAUUUUCCACUUGACAGCAUAACAAAACUACAGGGAAAAUACUCCUUCACUCAGUUCAUACUCAGAAAGCCCUUUGUUUUGUUGUGGGUUUAUUCUGGGGUGUUUUUUUUUUUUUUUUUUUUUUUUUUAACCUGCUAAUGAAUUAAGUCUUUUACAAGUUCAAGUUUUGUGUAAUGAAGAAAGAUUUUAAAAAGGUAUGGUUUUCCUACUCAGUGAUGGAUACUGCUAGUACCUCUGGGGAUUUUGACAUGUGAUUUGGAAACUGGAAGGCUGGAUUCCACUCCCCAGUUCAAACUGGGAGGCUGGAUUCCACUCCCCAGUUGAGACUGGAAGGCUGGAUUCCACUCCCCAGUUCAAACUGGGAGGCUGGAUUCCACUCCCCAGUUCAAACUGGGAGGCUGGAUUCCACUCCCCAGUUCAGACUGGAAGGCUGGAUUCCACUCCCCAGUUCAUAUGCACGCCUCUGAAUUGUGGAUACUUGCUUAGGUGUACAAUGUAAUAUCAUUGUGGCUGGGUUUUAGUUUAAUAGUGCUUUAACAUAUAAAGUACAGUACUAGCACAGACUGGACAAAAGGACUGCUGUGACCUCUACCAAUCUGGAGUAAUUCACAUCGAAUAAGUGCCGAGCCACCUCUGGCAAGGAAAAAAAAUGAGCUACAGGGCUCAUAAAAAGAUUUCUGAGUAGUAAUGAUUUUGUCAUUGAUGGAAACUAUUGAGAACUACAGAGCUUUCUGCAUUUUUCCCCGAGGCAGGAUUCUUAUAGACUUCACAUUUUUGUUUGCCUCAUCCCCACAUGGGAAGUGACGCCUACCUGGAUGUUCUGCUUUUUAAUCUACCUGCUCUCUGGUUGCAGCAAUAUAAGUACAGAUAUAGAAGAAAGAUUCAUAAAUCAGCCCAGUAAUUCUCAUCACCAAAAACUGGGGCAUGGUUUUGUUUAAUGUAUGGAAUUUUAUGACAGCAUUCAAAAGAAUUUAUGAGUUUACAAGCAAGAUUAAAUCAGUUCCAAAGACAGUUGUCGGACUGUGUCCAACAGUAUCAGUAAAACAUUAUGUGGCACUGUCAUUUCUCCAAGUGUUUUGGAGAUUCCAGCUUUAUUCUUAUGGGUUUCAAGGUCACUUUCAGCCUAAGGGACAGGAAAUUGCCACAAUCUACUAGGUGCUUGCAAUUUGGUCAGGGCAGCAUGAAUUGGGAGCAAAGAGGAGAUCCUGGCUGGUUCUUGUGCUUUCUGUGGUAAAGAGGUCUUACUCCUCGGGCAGUUAAAAGCAUCCUUAAGUUCUUACCAGAACUAGUUAAGAAUAAACCUGAAUUCAUGAGCAGUUGGAUUAAUGGUAAGAGAUUACUUCUCAUUAACUGGUCCUUGGCUUUAUAGCACAGAAGAGGUUUGCCAUGCAAAGCAUCCACAGUGCUGCAUCACAGAUCAGUUGCUCUCUUUGCAAAGACCAACAACUUGAUCAAAAGCACAAAGGCUGUGCAAAGAGCAGGGAGAGCAUGAAUGUACAGCCCAUCACAAAGUGACUGCUCUUCUCCUUCUUCACCUCUUUUCUCUUCUGGUGCAGUAUAUGUCUUGAUCCCUUGGCAAUGAAAAUGGCUUCACUCAGAGAAGGAGGCUGUUUGGCUGAUAUCAGAGGUGAUUCCAGCUUCAUGCUGUUGACACGGCCCAUUUACUGUUGAAUCUGUGCUUACACUCCAGCCAUGCUGUUGCAUCCACAUUCCUGGGCUUGGAUUUGUGCCCUUCCUGCCCACAGUCAGUGUGUGCACAUGGUGGCUUGGCUGCCCACCCUUGUACCCGUGCAGCAGGAUGGCACAGCGCCUGCUCACAGAGGUGGGAAGCCAAUUUCACAAGGGUACAGAUGAGCACUGGAAAUAGAAAUGGACUUACACUCUGCUCAAUGCUGCCUCUGCCAGUUCCCCAGCUGGAACUGGCUAAUUUUCAAUUGCAACUUUAAAAAAAAUUAAUUUCUAGGCUUAAUAAAUCUGAAAGUGAAUUACUGCCAAUUAGCACUAGGAAGAUAUUCACAUGUUUUACUUUAAGAAGAAUUUGUGGUGAGGAAUGAGUCAGUAACUGAAUGUUUAGUGACAGCUUCCCCAUAUGUGAUGAGUGUACCUGCUGUCAUGCUCUGCCUACAGACAGGCACAUGUCCAGUGAGUGCUGCUCCAUGGGGGGCUGGGCAGGCAAUGGAGUCAGAAACUGAAUGCUGAGCCGCCUUUUUCAAGGAAACAGAAGGCAAGAGAUGAGAUUUGUUGACUAGAGCCCCUGAACAUCAGGGCAAAUAUUAUGGCUUUAUACCUCCGAAGAUUUGCAUCAAUCAGCACUUAAUAAAUAGUAAAUAACAGGGGCCCACAAUAAUAGAACAAGGAAAGAAGGGAAUUAUCGAUCUUAAAAAGAAAGCAGGGAUGAGGCAGAGAGAAGUUAUGAUUUAUCUGUUUUUCUAAUUACAUGAGAUUAGAACCAGACUAGAAACAUCUGCUGCUUUGAUUUUGCUGCUCCUGGGAUUCCUCAGUCCUUUCUUCGUAAGUGGAAGAUUUCGAGUGAACAGGAUCUGGCCUGAAGAAAUCCAUCAAGCUGUAUUCAUGACUUGGGUUUUCUGUUUGUGCUGAUUUAAAGAUUUGGCCAUUUUGAUUUUCUUUGGAUUAGAUAAGCUCAAGGGAGCUCUCCAAAGGAAUGUG